CUGCUGCCUUCCGUAGGAGUCUGGUCCGUGUCUCAGUACCAGUGUGGGGGACCUUCCUCUCAGAACCCCUACGCAUCGUCGCCACGGUGGGCCGUUACCCCGCCGUCUAGCUAAUGCGCCGCAUGCCCAUCCUCUUCCGAUGAAUCUUUCCUCGAUCUCGGAUGCCCGAAACCGAUAUACGCGGGAUUAGCCUCCCUUUCGGAAGGUUCGUCCCCCUGAAGAGGGCAGGUUGCAUACGUGUUACUCACCCGUGCGCCGGUCGCCGG
rnacentral:rRNA from 1 species